rnacentral:tRNA from 1 species
UAGUUCAGUGGUAGAGUGCUUGCCUAGCAUGCAAGAGGCCCUGGAUUUGAUCUCCAG